rnacentral:rRNA from 1 species
GCUCAACUGAGGAAUUGCUUUGGAAACUGGAUGACUUGAGUACAGUAGAGGAAAGUGGAACUCCAUGUGUAGCGGUGAAAUGCGUAGAUAUAUGGAAGAACACCAGUGGCGAAGGCGGCUUUCUGGACUGUAACUGACGUUGAGGCUCGAAAGUGUGGGUAGCAAACAGGAUUAGAUACCCUGGUAGUCCACACCGUAAACGAUGAGUGCUAGGUGUUUGAGGGUUUCCGCCCUUAAGUGCCGCAGCUAACGCAUUAAGCACUCCGCCUGGGGAGUACGACCGCAAGGUUGAAACUCAAAGGAAUUGACGGGGACCCGCACAAGCGGUGGAGCAUGUGGUUUAAUUUGAAGCAACGCGAAGAACCUUACCAGGUCUUGACAUCCCUUGACAACUCCAGAGAUGGAGCGUUCCCUUCGGGGACAAGGUGACAGGUGGUGCAUGGUUGUCGUCAGCUCGUGUCGUGAGAUGUUGGGUUAAGUCCCGCAACGAGCGCAACCCUUAUUACUAGUUGCCAGCAUUUAGUUGGGCACUCUAGUGAGACUGCCGGUGACAAACCGGAGGAAGGUGGGGAUGACGUCAAAUCAUCAUGCCCCUUAUGACCUGGGCUACACACGUGCUACAAUGGCGUAUACAACG